AAGGCAGGAAGGCAGCGCCCAGAUCAACGGCGGGCAGAGUCGGAAGGCAGCGUCCAGAUCCCCUCGGCAACCCAGGAGUAUGGUUUCAUCUGGAAAAGAGGAAAGAGCCACGGAACGAGUUGCCGAGCCUCAGGGGCAGACCCAGGUGGACGCCGGACGUCCGACACCGUGGCUUCCUCUCCUGGCUCCUGCGUUUCGGACGCUGUUCCGUUGCUUGGAGAUGGUCUGAUCCUUUUGGAUCUGGCUCCUAAGAGGCGCCGCCGGCCGCGGGACAGGGCAGAGACUGAGCCGGCUCUCGGAGGGACCUGUGGCCAAGGGAAGGGGGACCCGCCUGGAGCCCACGUCCCCACCGGGGCCGGCACCCCGAGCCUGUCUUUGCUGGGACCCUGCUGACUGCGGAGGCCUCUGCCCGGAGCAUCUCUGGGUCGUGAUGGGCCCGCCGGGGGUGGACAGGAUAGUGCCCAGGCCCCAGACAGACGAGGGGGGAUGGCAGGUGGACUUGUGUCCCUGGGGCAGGGUCGGCGUGGAGAGGCGGGGGCCUGUGUCAGGUGCUCGGCAGUCACCUGUGUGACCCUGCGUGGACGGGCUGCCGGCCUCAACCGUCUAUUCAAAUAAAACGAUUAAUUGGC